rnacentral:rRNA from 1 species
CGCGGUAAACGGAGAGGACAAGUGUUAUCGCAUUGACUGGGUGUAAAGGGCGCGUAGGUGGUUUAUUAUGUUUUUAGGUAAAUCCCUGAAGUGAAGGACACCUUCUAAUACUAUUAAACUAGAGUUUUUUGGAAGAUUGCCGAACAUUACGUGUAGGGGUGAAAUCCUUAAAUAUGUAAGGGGCGUUCAAAUGGCGGAAGCUGCUUUCUACUCUAAACUGACACUGAGGCGCAAAAGCAUAGUUUUCAAACGGGAUUAGAUACCCCGGUAGUCUAUGCCCUGACCGAUGAGUAUUGGCUGAAUAUUAGCUAAGCUAACGCGUUAAAUACUCCACCUGAGUACUACGACCGCAAGGUUAAAACUCAAAGAAACUGACGGAAGAUUGUAUAAGCGGUGGAGUAUGUGGUUUAAUUUGAUAUAACGCAAUGAAUCUUACCAACAAUUGAAUACUAAGUCGUAUUGUUUAAUGUAAGUGGUUGCGAUUACCUACAUUUAAACUUAUGGCAUAUAAAGAAAAUUAUUUUCUUUAUAUGCGCUUAGUACAGGUGCUGCAUGGUUGUCGUCAGUUCGUGUCGUGAGAUGUUAUGUUAAUUCAUUUAACGAACGUAACCUUUAAUCUUAUUUUUUAUUUAAAUAGGAUAAUUGCUAAUUAAAAAUUAGUUGAAAGGAGAGGAAGUCAAAUCAUUAUGGCCUAUAUAGGUUUGGGCUACACACGUACUACAAUGGUAAUUACAAUGCGACGCAUUGGUGUGAAUCAAAGCAAAUCGUUAAAAAUUAACCUUAGUUCGGAUUAUUCUCUGCAAUUCGAGAAUAUGAAGU